AACGAACGCUGGCGGCAGGCCUAACACAUGCAAGUCGAGGGGGAAGCCACUUUCGGGUGGUGGAGACCGGCGCACGGUGAGUAACGCGUGGGCACCUGCCCCGGGGUGGGGGAUAACCGCUGGAAACGGCGGCUAAUACCGCAUACGCCCUAUUUUCGUAGAGGAGAUGGGGGAAAGAUUUAUUGCCCUGGGAUGGGCCCGCGUUGGAUUAGCUUGUUGGUGGGGUAAAGGCCUACCAAGGCGACGAUCCAUAGCUGGUCUGAGAGGAUGAUCAGCCACACUGGGACUGAGACACGGCCCAGACUCCUACGGGAGGCAGCAGUGGGGAAUAUUGGACAAUGGGGGCAACCCUGAUCCAGCCAUGCCGCGUGCGUGAAGAAGGCUUUAGGGUUGUAAAGCGCUUUCACCGGUGACGAUGAUGACGGUAGCCGGAGAAGAAGCCCCGGCUAACUCCGUGCCAGCCGCCGCGGUAACAC
rnacentral:rRNA from 1 species